rnacentral:rRNA from 1 species
CCUACGGGUGGCAGCAGUGAGGAAUAUUGGUCAAUGGGCGCGAGCCUGAACCAGCCAAGUCGCGUGAGGGAAGACGGUCCUAUGGAUUGUAAACCUCUUUUGUCGGGGAGCAAAAGACGCCACGCGUGGCGUUCCGAGAGUACCCGACGAAAAAGCAUCGGAUAACUCCGUGCCAGCAGCCGCGGUAAUACGGGGGAUGCGAGCGUUAUCCGGAUUUUUGGGGGUUAAAGGGUGCGCAGGCGGAGGAUGAAGUCAGCGGUAAAAUUGAGGGGCUCAACCUCGACGCGCCGUUGAAACUGGUUGGCUAGAGUGUUGGAGAGGGAUGCGGAAUGCGAGGUGUAGCGGUGAAAUGCAUAGAGAUGGCGCAGAACUCCGAUGGCGAAGGCAGCAUGCCGGCGCAAGACUGACGCUCAGGCACGAAAGUGUGGGGAGCGAACAGGAUUAGAUACCCCGGUAGUC